UACGAAGGGGACUAGCGUUGUUCGGAUUUACUGGGCGUAAAGCGCGCGUAGGCGGAUCGCUAAGUCAGGGGUGAAAUCCCAGGGCUCAACCCUGGAACUGCCUUUGAUACUGACGGUCUGGAGAUCGGGAGAGGUUGGUGGAAUUCCGAGUGUAGAGGUGAAAUUCGUAGAUAUCCGGAAGAACACCUGAGGCGAAGGCGGCUUGCUGGGCAUGAUCUGACGCUGAGGCGCGAAAGCGUGGGGAGCAAACAGG
rnacentral:rRNA from 1 species